UACAGAGGUGGCAAGCGUUGUUCGGAAUUACUGGGCGUAAAGGGCGCGUAGGCGGUUCGUUAAGUCCUGUGUGAAAUCCCCCGGCUCAACUGGGGAACUGCACAGGAAACUAGCGGGCUUGAGUUCGGGAGAGGGAAGCGGCAUUCCGGGUGUAGCGGUGAAAUGCGUAGAUAUCCGGAGGAACACCGGUGGCGAAGGCGGCUUCCUGGACCGACACUGACGCUGAGGCGCGAAAGCUAGGGGAGCAAACGGG
rnacentral:rRNA from 1 species